AGGUCUGUAGCAAUACAGAUGCUGGCGACCGGCAAACGGGUGCGGAACACGUACAGAACCUUCCUUCGAGCGGGGAAUAGCCCAGAGAAAUUUGGAUUAAUACCCCAUAGUAUAUUGAAGAAGCAUCUCUUUAAUAUUAAAGAUUUAUCACUUGAAGAUGGCUGUGCGGCUGAUUAGGUAGUUGGCGGGGUAACGGCCCACCAAGCCUGCGAUCAGUAACUGGUGUGAGAGCACGACCAGUCACACGGGCACUGAGACACGGGCCCGACUCCUACGGGAGGCAGCAGUAAGGAAUAUUGGUCAAUGGACGCAAGUCUGAACCAGCCAUGCCGCGUGGAGGAUGAAGGUCCUCUGGA
rnacentral:rRNA from 1 species